rnacentral:rRNA from 1 species
AGUGAACGCUGGCGGCGUGCUUAACACAUGCAAGUCGAACGAGAACGGAUUAUAGCUUGCUAUAAUUGUCAGCUAAGUGGCGCACGGGUGAGUAAUGUAUAGGUAAUAUGCCUCUUACUAAGGGAUAACAAAUGGAAACGUUUGCAAAUACCUUAUACUCCUUAUUAACAGAAGUUAAUAAGGGAAAGAUUUAUUGGUAAGAGAUUAGCCUGUAUUGUAUCAGUUAGUUGGUGGGGUAAUGGCUUACCAAGACUAUGACACAUAACUGGUUUGAGAGGAUGAUCAGUCACACUGGAACUGAGACACGGUCCAAACUCCUACGGGAGGCAGCAGUGGGGAAUAUUGCACAAUGGACGAAAGUCUGAUGCAGCAACGCCGCGUGGAGGAUGACACAUUUCGGUGCGUAAACUCCUUUUAUAUGAGAAGAUAAUGACGGUAUUAUAUGAAUAAGCACCGGCUAACUCCGUGCCAGCCGCCACCGUAA